rnacentral:rRNA from 1 species
AACCAGCACCUCAAGUGGUCAGGAUGAUUAUUGGGCCUAAAGCAUCCGUAGCCUGUUCUAUAAGUUUCCGGUUAAAUCCAUAUGCUCAACAUAUGGGCCGCCGGAAAUACUGCAGAACUAGGGAGUGGGAGAGGUAGACGGUACUCGGUAGGAAGAGGUAAAAUUCUUUGAUCUAUUGAUGACCACCUGUGGCGAAGGCGGUCUACCAGAACACGUUCGACGGUGAGGGAUGAAAGCUGGGGGGCGAACCGG